AUUGAACGCUGGCGGCAGGCCUAACACAUGCAAGUCGAGCGGAGCGGCGGACGGGUGAGUAAUGCCUAGGAAUCUGCCUGGUAGUGGGGGAUAACGUCCGUCAACGGGCGCUAAUACCGCAUACUAUCAGAUGAGCCUAGGUCGGAUUGGCUGUUUGGUGGGGUAAAGGCCUACCAAGGCGACGAUCCGUAACUGGUCUGAUAGGAUGAUCAGGCACACUGGAACUGAGACACGGUCCAGACUCCUACGGGAGGCGGCAGUGGGAAAUAUUGGGCAAAGGGCGAAAGCCUGGUCCAGCCAUGCCGCGUGUGUAAAGAAGGUCUUCGGAUUGUAAAGCACUUUAAGUUAGGAGGCGUUGCCAACAGAAUAAGCACCGGCUAACUUCGUGCCAGCAGCCGCGGUAAUAC
rnacentral:rRNA from 1 species